rnacentral:sRNA from 2 species
AAACCGCACCCACCCACUCACGUUCGUACGGCAGGAGCGGGGGACCCAGGUAAGCCGCCGAUCCGGAGCACACCGGAACGGCUCGGGGUGAAGCCGCGCUGACACCGCGGCCGGGCAUCUCCAGUCCGAACCCGACAGCUCACCUCGCAGGCGACGGAGAGGAAUU